GAAAUUAAUAUACACAUUUUUCACACAUCACCUAACACAUGUCUUCAUCCUAAACAAACCUCCUCAACUAUAAAUAGGAGCAUAGUUCAAGCCUUCAUACUUGCACCUUCACAUAUUUCUUCUCCACUCUCUAUCUGGAAGUUCCUGGUCAUAUCGGAGCAUCCCUCUAAUUUCCAAACAUUCUAAGGAUCACUUGUUAGUGUUCCUUUCCAGCUCUUUUCGUUUUUAUAGGCUUUUAUAAGACGAAAGUCAAGCAAAUUGACUUUUGCUUUGACUUUCAUUUUAGACCAUUAUGGUCCAGCAAUUGUUCGAAUCGAACAUGGCUACGUGAUCGUAAUAAGGCUUGGGAUACGGUAAAUUCUUACUGCUUGGUCAGGCAUGCGAUCAAAUGUUGGAUUGUGACUAGAAAAUCCACAUAACCUGUUUUAAUUUAUUUUGUCUGAUAUCCUCAGCUCAUUUAAUGGCAAAUGGCCACGACUUAAGCAUGGGGUGUAGGCAUACACCUGACAGAUGUUAAUGCUAUUAUAAAAUAUUUUCUACCCAUAUUGGGGAUACCUUUUUAUGGGUUAAAAGCGGUGUGUCGGUUAAUCAUGUUAUUUAGUUUCUGUACAAGGCCUCAUAUGUAUUAACAGGCAUGUAAAACUGUAUACAAGAUAAUUGUUAUUGUCCCAAGUUAUUUAUAAAAUUACAUGUGCCUUUGUGCACUUAAAACAAUUUGAAAUAUUUUCAAAAUUUGUCGGUUACUUGUGUCUAACGAUGUAAACUGACGUAUCUUCAAAAGACUAAGUGACAGGUUCCAAGGUUACAAAAUAGGCUGGAAGUGCCAGUAAUGCUUAAGAGGAAUUUGUGACUCCUUGCAUUAGAAGCCUAUUAGUCUGUUAUUUCAUUUUGUACAUUUACGAUCCGCCUGUGGAUCUUUUGAUACAUUAUCCGUCUGUAUAAUAUUUUGAACACUCGGACAUUUAUAUUGUAAUAUUUUAAAUCCAAGACUUCCACUGUGCUAUCUAUGUAUUUGUUAUCAAUCUAGUCACGUACCCCAAACCUGGGCCCACCGGGUGACGUAGAAAUACCGGGGUGUGACAAUGCUAUACAUAUAUUAUUUAUAUAUA